UUGAACUGUCUUCCCAACAUUGCUACAUCAUUUUCCAGAUCUUCAUCAAUAUCUUGACCACCUUCCUCAUCUUCCCCUUCAGUGUUUGACAUGAAGGCUAUGCUCUUGGCUUUGUUUUGAGAUCCAUCACACAUUCCCAUCUCAAAUGUUUGGAGAGAUCCAAUUAGCUCAUCAUCUCUCAUAUUUGAGAUGUCUUGAGAUUCUUCUAUGGCUGUCACCUUCAUAGCAAAUCUCUUAGGGAGUGACCUGAGUAUUUUCCUUACUAACUUUU
rnacentral:lncRNA from 1 species